rnacentral:snRNA from 1 species
AUGAUUACACAUUACAUCUACUACCAUUGAGGAAAGGGAGAGAAUAUGAGUGACUCAUCUUUCCUAACUCACACAAAACAAGGACUCAAGGAUGACACACAAACUAGUAGUACUAUUCAUUUGGUAU